UUCAUUUUCAUUCUUGUUCAUUCGUUUUCAUUCGCUUGGGUUUUCAUUCGUUUUCAUUCACGUCGUUUUCGUGGGUCUGUGAUGUUCAUUUCUGUGUGGGUCUGUGUUUUUUUGUGUGGGUUUUCAUUCUUCUUCUGCUUGAUGGCUUGAUGAUGAGAAUGUCAAUAUAAAAAUACAAAUUUGCAUGAGAUUUGGAAGUCUGUGUAGGUCUGUGUAGGUCACUUUAGCAUGAGAUUUAAUGAAAAGUAAAAAGAUAUAUGGUCAUUUCUGUUUAUGAUAUUUAUUUUGCUGCUAUUUUGAUUAUUUUUUACUUCAUAGAUGAUAUGUAAUGUUUUAAACCAAGCCAUGUUUUGCUGCUAUUUUGCUGCUAUUAUAUCAGAUUUUAUUGUUGAAGCUAAACUCCAAAUAGGCAAGAAAAUUCAAAUAACCAAGCCAUGUUUUAAUGUCAAAGUGUGAUUCAAAAUUCGUUAUGUUGCUGCACAUGAGGGUGUUAGGUAUAAGCAAGUAUAUAGAAGUCACUCAUGUUAACCUUGUGCUUAAUAUAUUCAAGGUAUAUAGAAGUCACUCAAGUUAUAGUGCUUAAUAUAUUCAAGGUUGGCUAAGGAGUGAAAAUAUGGAGUUAGAAUAGUGCUUAAUAUCUCUGCCAUAUAAUAUACUUACUCAAGGUGACCAAGUUUGAUGUAGUUAGAAUAGUAAGGGAAAAUAUGGAGAUGGUCAAGAGGGUUUUGGUAUGAGCCUAAGAUAGCUGAGUAGUGUCUCUCCAAAUACCCUUCAGCUUCACCACAUAGCCUUAUAAGAUGGGAUCUUUUUUCUUGCAAAUACCCUUCAGCUUCGGCUUCAAGAAAACAUACAACUUGGCCAUGGGCAGGGGUCAAUAUUUAUGGCCAAUUGUAUAAACAUACAACUUGUUUUGAUAUUAACUAAGUUGUAUAAACAUAUUUAUAAAAUUAUCAAUGCUUGUGCUGUGCAGGGGUUGCUGUGUUAGGCGGUGAUUGCUGCUCCUGCGUUAGGCGGUGAUUGCUGCUCCUGCGUGUUGCUUGUGCUGUGCAGGGGCUGGUGUUGCUCUUUUUUGGUGUUGUCAUCUUUGUUUGAAGUUAGAAGGUUCAAUCACGGUCUCAUCUACAGGGUGAUGAAUUGGUUAUUAGCUUUAGUUUGAGUCUUGGAAGCAGAUCAGGUGAUGGAAUUGGUAUUUUGGCUCGGAUGUGCAUCUCACUGUUUUGGACUGUUUAUUUUGGACUAUUUUAGGAUGGUUUUAUGAAGGAAUUGGUAUUAGAAUUGGUAUUUUUGUGAUGGAAUUGGUAUUUUAUGAAGGAUUGGUAUUUUAGAAUUGGUAUUUUAGGAAUUGGUAUUUUAGGAUUGGUAUUUUAGGAAUUGGUAUUUUAGGACUGUUUAUCAGGUGAUGGAAUUGGUAUUUUAGGAUGUGCAUACUGUUCUAGAGUUUUGAUUUUU